rnacentral:rRNA from 1 species
GUAGGUGGCAAGCGUUGUCCGGGAAUUAUUGGGGCGUAAGGCGCGCGCAGGCGGUUCUUUAAGUCUGAUGUGAAAGCCCACGGGCUCAACCGUGGAGGGUCAUUGGAAACUGGAGAACUUGAGUACAGAAGAGGAAAGCGGAAUUCCACGUGUAGCGGUGAAAUGCGUAGAGAUGUGGAGGAACACCAGUGGCGAAGGCGGCUUUCUGGUCUGUAACUGACGCUGAGGCGCGAAAGCGUGGGGAGCAAACAGGAUUAGAUACCCUGGUAGUCCACGCCGUAAACGAUGAGUGCUAAGUGUUAGGGGGUUUCCGCCCCUUAGUGCUGCAGCUAACGCAUUAAGCACUCCGCCUGGGGAGUACGGCCGCAAAGGCUGA